rnacentral:tRNA from 1 species
GCUUGGUAAUCACUGAGGGGGGUGAGGUUGCGUUUCGGCCGCAAUAGGGGGCUUCGGCUCACCAGGUG